UACGUAGGGAGCAAGCGUUGUCCGGAAUCAUUGGGCGUAAAGCGCGCGUAGGCGGCCCCGUAAGUCCGUUGUGAAAGUCAAAGGCUCAACCUUUGAAAGCCGAUGGAUACUGUGGGGCUAGAGUCCAGAAGAGGCGAGUGGAAUUCCUGGUGUAGCGGUGGAAUGCGCAGAUAUCAGGAGGAACACCAAUAGCGAAGGCAGCUCGCUGGGACGGUACUGACGCUAAGGCGCGAAAGCGUGGGGAGCGAACAGG
rnacentral:rRNA from 1 species